GGGCUGCUGACAGAAUGUGGCUGAGGGGGCACGUCCAGGCCCGCCCACAUGAGGCCCAGACUGCUGAGUGGAGGGCCGAGGCCGAGCUGAGCCGAGAAGCAGCCGUGGUGAAAAGCUGUGCGCGCAUCUUCAGCUCCUAGAUCUGGCCCCAGCUGCUCCUCUCCGGCCUGCCAUCACUGCCGUGCCAGGCUCCAGCGUGGGAGUUGUCACCGCACCGGAACCUCCAGUGACUCCCUGCUUGUACCCGCACGGAACAAACUGGGAUUCCAGGCGCCUGGGAGCGUCUGCCACGCCGCCCUUCCUUCCCGUCCACCCUCCCAGGCCUUGGCUAAAUAGGCCCCCUCAUUUCCAGCCUCACUGUCCCUCUGUGGCCUGGUCAGCUGUUGCCCUUCCUCCAAGACUGUUCAGCUGUCUCCGCCUAGUUACUGUCCCAAGUGUAGCUGAAAGAAUAAAGUAAGGAACGGUCACCCAA